CGGACGGGUGAGUAAUGUCUGGGAAACUGCCUGAUGGAGGGGGAUAACUACUGGAAACGGUAGCUAAUACCGCAUAACGUCGCAAGACCAAAGAGGGGACCUUCGGGCCCCUUGCCAUCGGAUGUGCCCAGAUGGGAUUAGCUAGUAGGUGGGGUAACGGCUCACCUAGGCGACGAUCCCUAGCUGGUCUGAGAGGAUGACCAGCCACACUGGAACUGAGACACGGUCCAG
rnacentral:rRNA from 1 species